UAGCAUGUUAGCUAACAUGCUAGCAUAUUAGCAAAAAAUGUUAAGUGGGUGAAUCAACAUUUCAGAUUCUCAGCUAGACAUUUUACCAGGUUACCUAGCAUGUUAGCAUGUUAGCUAACAUGCUAUCAAAAUAGAAUGCUAGCAAAAAAUGCUAACUAUUUUGACCAAAGUUUCAGAUUCCCAGCUAGCCAUUUUACCAUAUUACCUAGCACGUUAGCUAACAUGCUAGCAAAAAUGCUAACUAUGUCCAUCAACAUGCCAAAAUCUUAAGCUAGUUAAAUGAGCACCUUACAUAGCAUGCUAGAAAAAACGUCACCUAGGUACAUCAACAUGUCAGAUUCUUAAAUGCCUAUGUUUGCAUAUAACCUAGUGUGUUAGCAUUAUACCUAGAUUGUUAGCAUCUUGGCAAAAAUGCUACACAAGUAACCAUGCCAGAUCCUCAGCUAUGUUAGCAUAUCACCUAGCAUUUUAGUGUGUUAACUAGCAUGCAAGCAAAAAUGCUAAGUAGACAUAUUCGCAUGCCAAAUUCUAAGGAAGCUAUUUUAGCAUAUUACUUAUGUUUUUAUGUUAACAAGCAAGGUAUUUUAGUAUUUUACCUAUGAUGUUAGCAUUGUAGGUAGGUGAGCAUUUAAGCAAAAAUCCUAACUGGCAGGGAGAAGAUGGUAGUUGUUUUAUUAACCAUGUCAGCAAAUGUGCUAGUAUGUUACCUCAUUUAGUAGCAUGUUAUCAAAAUUGCUCAUUUGCUGUAAAAACAUGCCAGCUGCUUAGUUAUAUCAACUAGCAUGUUGGAACAAAAGCAUAUUUGCUAAAAUGUUAUCGAAAAUGCUAACUAGCCACACUAACAACACAAUUAACAAGCCAUGUUAGCAUGGUUAACAUGUAAUCUUGAUGUGUUCUACAUUUUUUCUAAAUUUUCAACCUCUAAGCAUAAAACGUGUGCAAUUUGUAAAAACAAUCAUUUUCCAUAAACACUACAUUUCUUCUUGGAUGCAUUCUUUCGUUUGCACCACGAAACACAAACAACCCACAAAACAUGCUGUAUAGAUUAAAAGUAAUUUAAUCAUGUUGCAACAAAUUAGAACACAAGUUGUCUGUAAGAAUGUUAGAUAUAGAGGCCAUUAUCUAAACUCUUAGAGGCCCUUUUUGUUGCCACAAUUCUACGGUUUAUUUUAUUACUAUAUACACCGUAUGUAAUGGGACAAUAGAGAAAAAUACAAUAAGGGAAACAAAUACAAAAAGACUGUCUUUCGAUUUGUCUGGGUGAACAACUUGUUGCCAACUGCUACAUCCGUCUACUAGCCAAAAUCCAUCUCCUAGGGAAAUGACAAAAAGGUGUCAAUUUGUGCAUAUGUGUAUAUACAUACAUGCACACAGUCACAUCCCACAAGGUAUUCUUCGAGACAUCAGUUCUCUUCUAAAUCUAGUAAUAUAUCAUAAAAACAGGUUUGGAUCAUUACAACACAAGCAAUACUAUUGCUGCAGGCUGGUCAAGGCCUAACAGAGACACAGCUACUGUGCCUCUGUAAUAACAGUAAACACACACUGCCACUAUUGAAUAUUAAUUUAUGAAGCCUCAGGUUACAGCUUUUUACAUGCUCUUCUUAGGCUCAAUCACAAUCAGCACUUUGGUCCAACAGAGCUCAGCAUAACUGUUCAUCAUUGGCUUCUGUCAAGUGAA